rnacentral:rRNA from 1 species
GAUUAACGCUGGCGGCGUGCAUAACACAUGCAAGUCGAACGAUGAAACUUUUUUGAUUUCUUCGGAAUGAUUAAAAGGGGAUUAGUGGCGGACGGGUGAGUAACUCGUGAGUAACCUGCCUUAGAGAAGGGGAUAGCCUUUGGAAACGAAGAAUAAUACCCUAUGAAACCAUACCCUCGCAUGAGGAAUUGGUCAAAGAUUUAUCACACUAAGAUGGACUUGCGUCUGAUUAGUUAGUUGGUAGGGUAACGGCCCACCAAGACAGCGAUCAGUAGCCGGCUUGGGAGAGCGUACGGCCAUAUUGCGACUGGGACACGGCCCGGACUCUUACGGGAGGGAGCAGUGGGGAAUUUUGCACAACGCGUGAAACCCUGAUGCAGCGGGGCCGCGUGAUUUAGAAGGCCGUCGGGUUGUAAAAAUCUUUUAUAUGGGAAGAAAAUGACAGUACCAUAGGAAUAAGGACCGGCUAAUUACGUG